GCGCCCCCUCCCGCCGGCCGACCUACCCAAGGCGCCGCCGCCCCCCCACCCCCCCAGCGAGGGGUCGCUGGGCGCCGCCCACGCCACCGAGAACCUGCUGCCGCACUUCCGCCAUGGCCGCACGCUCCUCCGCGUCCCAAUCGCCGCCGCCGCCGGGGAUCCUCGAGCACCAUCAACCUGGCACGCAGUCCAUGGCCGCCUCCCCACGCAGUCCCUUUCUUGCUGCUGACGCGCCUGUCGAUGCCGCCCGAGGCCACAGCGCCCCGCCCGUGGCUCUGGCGCGCCUCCCGCCGUGGCCCACCUGGGCCCCAUGCUCCUCCCGCCGCCUCCCCGAGUCAGGACGCGCCUCCCGCUGCCGCCCGAGGCCACCGCGCACCACCCCGUAGCCAUCCUCGACCCCCGUCCCUACCGCGCCCGCCGGUGAGGUUAACUAUGAGAUCCCUCCACGUCCUCUAUACUCCUCCUCCUCAGUUCUCCUUGGAUCUUAAAGAAUGGGGCAGUAGCUCCGGUAGCUUCUCCUCGGUCCAUGAACGAGGUUGCUCAGUGGCACGCACGAGCCGGGGAGGCUGCAGUUCGGCAACGCGUACACAUAGUUCAUAUUUGGCCCGUGGUAUCAUCCUGCUGGUUGGUGACCAACAGAGCUGGCCUGAGGCAUGGUUUUGCUCGCCGCGCUGGGCGCGACUCCGCUGGAAGGAAGAACGAGCUCCAUCCAGCCUGUGAAGUUCGGCCGGUGAGCCUGCGCAGUCCAACGGCGCAUGUGUGCUUGUGUCCGGUUCACGGGCGGAGCGUGUGUGGUGCCCGCGUGCACAUGACAGCCACAUGCGGUGUUAACAGAAGCCAAGCUAGAAGCAGAAUGCAGUACCUUCAUACGUUUGCAUACGAGUGUGCACACAGAGAAGUUCAGGCAAUGCAAAUGGUGCAGCCGCAGCAGCAUCGAUCACAAUUGUGUGGCGUUCCCUGUUGCUCCUCUCCCUCUGUUGCCUUGCUUGUUGAGAUGCCACCGCUUCUGCAUGUUUGUACUAAGGCGACUACCCAUCUAUCUUCACAAGUGAUUCUUGUUUGACAAUUUGGAGGAACUUGCCACUCUGAAAAUCUAACUCUACAUCGUUCUUGUUUUUGUUCUUCAGAAGUUCAGGUAACUAGGUUGCUGACUACGUAAAGUUGCUCUUUUCUUCUUGAAGGAUUAAAGUUGCUCCUGGCUGUGCUAGUUAGUACUAAACCAUAAUCUCGUAAAGUGCAUAAUGCUCAUGCGCUUGGACGUUGAGCAUGGAAUAUUUUAUUGGCUGCAAGACCUGCCGUCGUCAUCCCCACUUAGCCCAUGUCAUGAAGCUUCGCCCCCCUACUACUGCUACACGUAAGUGCUCGUCUGCAAUUUGGCACGAAGUUGAACAACUUUAGCUAGAGUUCAGAUAACUGAAUGGCAGAGGUUGCUCUAGAACUACAGCAGUAUACUUCAGAGUUGAGUGCAGAUAAUUGAAUGUUUAUACAGUCAAACCUGUUGCCCUCGUGAUUAUAUGAAGAUAUUCAGAAUCAGAAGUUCAAAAGAAGAGUUCCAUGAAAGUCAAAAUCAAGAAAGAGCACUGUGAAGUAUAAUUACUAAUAAGACUAGUGUGUCUGGUGCGUGCGUCCGGACUGUGAUGUCUCCUGUGUGUGUGCUCAUGCGUUUGCAUGUGUGUUGCGAGCUCACAUGUGUGCACUCAGUUUUUUUUAUUUUGUUGAGCAUUCGUGUGUCCUCCAGUGUGUGUGUGUGUGUGUGUGUGUGUGUGUGUGUGUGUGUUGCAAAGGUCCUCCAGUGUGUGUGUGUGGUCUUAAUACAUAUUCACAAAAAGGUUGUUUGCCUAUC